ensembl:lncRNA
GUUCAGUUUGAAACAGGAAGUAGCACUUCUCGCCCUGUACUUUUUUUUUAUCAGACCUUGAGACCUGAGACUGGAAGCAAUUGCAAUGGGCACACACUGACACGCUGUUUAAGAAGGAGUCUCCAGUGUCAGCACUUUUGAACAGUCAGUAAGUUUUCCUCCACUGGAAAGUCUUGAGAGCAGAGGGCUUUGUGCUUUCUGGUUUCUUUGUAACAUGACAAGCUGUGGUUUUCUUGUCAAAUAACUUCGAGAGGGAAAAAAAGGCUGUUAUGAUUGAGGUCACAAGCCUGCAAGGUGCUGUCCUUGCCUUCCUGUCUGUCUCCACCGUGAGCUUCAUCUGUGCUCUCUGCAUACGCUGUAGGAAGAAAACUAUGAUUGUACAGGAGAGUAACCAACUCUAUGUUCCACAAAUAUUUCACCGAGGGGGGAGCAAAUUUGCUGUGACAAGGUCAAAAACAGAACUGUCGCACACACACCUAAGAGCCAGCUGGAGACAGCUGUCCAGGACCAGGGGGGCAGUUACGAGAACAUUAAACAAUCAAUUCAUGGUAGUAUGGAACCCACCUAUGUAGAUCCAAUAUCAACACCGCCACACAAUAACAAUGUUUUACAUGAUGAUGACAUCGGAGACUACGCAAAUAUUUUUCCAACGCAAGAUGUUCAACAUGACUCAGACAGUUACGAUUAUGAAAACACAGAAUUCCUGCAAAACAGCAAACCUGACGACGAUGAUGAGCCAGAUUACGUCAACGCAGACACGGCUAACAACUAACACAUAAAUAAAGUUUUACACUGUUAUCCAAGUUAGAUUAAAUAAGUAUUAGAAUAUAUUGGCAUAUUUAAUAGCACAGAAGCAAUGUAGUAUCAAUGAAUUGAAUGCUUCAUGGUUUGCAUGUUGGUCUUAUUUGAACUUUUAGUAUAACUUUUAGAUCCAUGUAAUAAAGGCACGUCAUUGUGUGUGAAGAGUAAGCAAAUUUCUUUUUAUGGAAUGAGAAACAGUAUAAUCGAUGUUUUAAGUGCCACUACAUUGAAAAUAAAAUCUUCCUGAUUUUGGUUUGAGUAGUAAUGACCAUUUCCUAAUAUUUCUCUUUAUAUUACUUUAUAAUAUUUAAUUAUAUGUAUAUUAUUUUAAUAUUCUAUUAUAUGAUGUGAUGCACUCAUGAUAUUUUGUGUUCAUUAUCAUAUCUGGAUAUCUGUAGUUUUCCUGCAAAUAAAAUUCCCCAAGUAUGGAACUUGAUUUACAUCAUUAUUACUGUUUAUCAUCUCAGCAACUAUAAUGAACUUAUGUUUGGAUUUUAAAAUAAAUGCUGCAACAUGGUGACCUAUGCUGCACAUUUCUACCAUCGCAACUUAAUACACAUUUUAGACGG